GAUGAACGCUGGCGGCGUGCCUAAUACAUGCAAGUCGAGCGAAUGGAUUAAGAGCUUGCUCUUAUGAAGUUAGCGGCGGACGGGUGAGUAACACGUGGGUAACCUGCCCAUAAGACUGGGAUAACUCCGGGAAACCGGGGCUAAUACCGGAUAACAUUUUGAACCGCAUGGUUCGAAAUUGAAAGGCGGCUUCGGCUGUCACUUAUGGAUGGACCCGCGUCGCAUUAGCUAGUUGGUGAGGUAACGGCUCACCAAGGCAACGAUGCGUAGCCGACCUGGGAGGGUGUUCUGCCACACUGGGACUGAGACACGGCCCAGACUCCUUCGGGAGGCAGCAGUAGGGAAUCUUCCGCAAUGGACGAAAGUCUGACGGAGCAACGCCGCGUGAGUGAUGAAGGCUUUCGGGUCGUAAAACUCUGUUGUUAGGGAAGAACAAGUGCUAGUUGAAUAAGCUGGCACCUUGACGGUACUUAACCAGAAAGCCACGGCUAACUACGUGCCAGCCGCCGCCGUAA
rnacentral:rRNA from 1 species